GACGAACGCUGGCGGCGUGCUUAACACAUGCAAGUCGAACGACGACGACCGAGCUUGCUCGGUCUGAUUAGUGGCGAACGGGUGAGUAACACGUGAGCAACCUGCCCUUCACUCUGGGAUAACCUCGGGAAAUCGGGGCUAAUACCGGAUAUGAGCUCCUGUCGCAUGGCGGGUGUUGGAAAGUUUUUCGGUGAAGGAUGGGCUCGCGGCCUAUCAGUUUGUUGGUGAGGUAGUGGCUCACCAAGGCGAUGACGGGUAGCCGGCCUGAGAGGGCGACCGGCCACACUGGGACUGAGACACGGCCCAGACUCCUACGGGAGGCAGCAGUGGGGAAUAUUGCACAAUGGGCGAAAGCCUGAUGCAGCGACGCCGCGUGAGGGAUGACGGCCUUCGGGUUGUAAACCUCUUUCAGCAGGGAAGAAGCGAAAGUGACGGUACCUGCAGAAGAAGCGCCGGCUAACUACGUG
rnacentral:rRNA from 1 species